UACGGAGGUGGCAAGCGUUAUCCGGAAUUAUUGGGCGUAAAGCGUCCGCAGGUGGCACUUCAAGUCUGUCGUCAAAGACUGGGGCUUAACCCCGGAAAGGCGGUGGAAACUGAAGCGCUAGAGUGCGGUAGGGGUAGAGGGAAUUCCCGGUGUAGCGGUGAAAUGCGUAGAGAUCGGGAAGAACAUCGGUGGCGAAAGCGCUCUACUGGACCGCAACUGACACUCAGGGACGAAAGCUAGGGGAGCGAAUGGG
rnacentral:rRNA from 1 species